rnacentral:lncRNA from 1 species
GGCAAGAUAAUCAACAGCAAUCCAAGCAAAGCUUAACAUAACUGUCUCCUCAACACCAUCUGGAAGUUGUAACUCCAGCGACCUUUGCAACCAAGUAGGGUGAUAUGUUACCUGAUACCAUGCCGAAGCCUUCUUUUCAUACAUAACAUUCUUCUCAUCAUCAGUAAGGAGCUCAAAAUCAGGUUCCAUUUGCUCAAAAACUCUCCUAAACUCCUUUCGUAGGUUAUUAUAAGCAUGCUUAAGCCUCUCUUUCAGAUCACCGAGUUUUUUGCUACUGUACUUGGGCAUUGACCAUAUAUGACCAGUAACAACCUCUUCUUCCCUGUUCACUCUGUAUUGUCCCAACAGACCAUUCAACUGUCCAUCGUACGAACACUUGGUAUUCCAUGCAUGCUCGAUGAACACCUCGGAACCAGGUAUCUCAAGGUCUGUGUCAUAAGGAAUUUUAUUUGAGGGAAAUGUUAAAUCAGAUGUUGCAGCCUCACCUUCAUCACAGGCAUCUUUGACUUGGCGAUACAACUUACCCAAAAUCUUUUUUGACUUGUAUGACUGAAAAUCUUCUUUACCCAUAAAGUCAGGAUACAUUUUUGGUUUAUAUUCAGAUGGCAUAUUCACAAUUUUUCCAGUUUUGGGGAAAUCAACUGCUGUUGCAGCAAGCUCUGCCAAUUUAAUGCACUUCUCGUCCAGUGCUCCAUAUUCACUAAGGUCAGCAUGGACAACAUGGGCAUUGCAUAUUGCACCCAGGCUUUCUGUAACCAUAUUCUUGGAGAAGAAGUCAAUAAUGUCCUGAAAGUGUGACAUCAAGGUGGAGAAAAUUAAACUACGAAUGUAAAAGAUAAUGCAUUAUGUCUCAACAACUCCAGAUUGUAAACAGGUGCACCAGGUGGGUCAAAAUAAUAAUUUAAAUAAGACUGAUUGAUCUAAUCCAUAAGAAUCACAGAAACAUACUAUUAAACACAAAAUGAACUCUAACACCUGGGUCGAUUUCAUCCAUGACAACAUGAAAAGUUUAAACAGUUUAAUUCAAAACUCAUAGCCCAUGAAGUCAUGAUUGUUCUACCUGUAGCACUUUGCAGAUGCAUUUUAUCAAUAGUUCCUAGAAUCUUAUGAUUAUUCAUAGUAUUAAUAGAACUUAAAAUUCUGAUUCUCACAUAUUUAAGGAAAAACUUCAUUAUAGCCAUGUUUCUGCUUUUCAAAAAUAAUUUGACAUACAAAAAGUAUUCUUUGUUUACAUACAAGUAACUACUGAAUGCAACUUCCAUAGUUUCUGAGACCUUUCUGAGCAAUUUAGACCAAAUCCCAAGAUCAAAGACUGUAAUUGAAUAGUUUAACAGGAUUUAGAAUGAUGAGAUAGCCAAGGCCAUCGAAAGGAAAACUCAGAUGACAGAAUCACGUAAACAAUUACCGGAUGAUUCACUUCACGAGGCAAUUUUCUAGCUUCUGCAGAUGCAUAAUCCAUUGGCAUCCAGCUCCUUUUACUAGGGGGGAUCAGAUUACCAUCCCAAGUAACAAAGUAAAGAUCUCCAUCCAGGUCACUUCCUGAAGCUUCAUU